rnacentral:lncRNA from 1 species
CCUUCAUACUCCUUGUUCCCUUUUUCAUAACAUUGGAAUGCAAUGCAUUCUUUUCGAUCGUGUACUACGGUACACUGAAAAUCUGGACAAAAAAGAAAGUGAAAGCGAGUAGAUCUCCAACUUACCUCCUAAAAGCCCUGAGGCUUUCUUGGAACUCAUUCAUAGGCACUUUCCAUUAGCUAGACUUCACUUUUGAAAUAAAAAAAGAGUUUCAGCGUGCAAUAGAAAGCAGAAGAAGAAGGAG